rnacentral:rRNA from 1 species
UACAGAGGGUGCGAGCGUUUAAUCGGAAUUACUGGGCGUAAAGCGUGCGUAGACGGUUCUGUAAGUCGGAUGUGAAAUCCCCGGGCUCAACCUGGGAAUUGCAUUCGAGACUGCAAAGCUUGGGUGCGGAAGAGGGAAGCGGAAUUUCCGGUGUAGCGGUGAAAUGCGUAGAUAUCGGAAGGAACAUCAGUGGCGAAAAGCGGC